CGAAGCCAGCUAAUUACUUUCAGGUAUUAAUCUUGUUACUUCUUUUUUUAUGUUCAAUUCUGCACGAUGUCAACUUUUUUAUAUUUUUUAUAUUUUUCUUUUAAAAAAAUAUAAAGGGUUAUAAAAUUAUGGGUUAUACAUGUUUAAUUAUUAAACUCCCACAUACUUGUACGUUCAUCUAUUAUUGGUACCCACUUUAGUUUUCUCUCGACUUUUUCUGAGUCUUCGUUCUCUUGGGUUAGCCAAGUUUUUCAUUGUUUGCCUCCCUUGUCCAAUCGGCAAGGGAGGGCUCUUUGUUUUGUUCUGGUUAAAAGAUGGGCACCCUCCCCAUAUCGAUCUAGUGUGGUUUACUGUUAUUUUGUGUUUGUUGUUUUGUUGAUCUUGAAGCUUCAAAGUGAGGGUUUUAAGCAGAAGAUCAAAGCCCAGGAGCUAGGUAGUUGAAGCUCUGUUGGGUUUGCAAAUAUUUUGGGUCUAGAAGCUGCUGCUCCAAGGUGGGGAGAGGUUCAUGCAUAUCAAGGACAAUGGUAUCUCCAGGGCUAAAGCAUUCCAUUCUUGCUGAAGGUGUUCCCCUAAGGCUAAGAGAGGCCGGUGAGCUCUACCUUGUCACUCUCCCGACUGUUGACGGUGGCUCUAUGUUGGGGACGACAGGAGGCUUGGUGCUAUUUGGGUUUGGAGCUCCUAUGAUCCUUUUGUGCUCUUUGAGCUGUAGGUCAAAGGUAGCUCUAUAAUCUCAAUUGGUGGUCUUGCUUGGUGCGAAGAGCGGUGCAGCAUCGCUUAUGGUUGGGUGGUUCAGUCUCCUCCUUCAUGUCGGCGUCACUGUGGUGAAGGUGGUUGUGUUUUCAACCUUUUGCUUAGGGUUUCUGGGUGUAGGGAUUGGACUGAAAAGUUUAUUAUUUGGGCUAUGAUGUACUAAGCUUGACUUUGGGCCUUCUGUUGAUACUAUUUAUGUUUUUGGCCCAUUCUAUGUAAGUGUGCCCUAUGGGCCUUGUUUAUGCAAAUAC
rnacentral:misc_RNA from 1 species